CCGUCGGCGUCGUCUAGGGUUUUAGUUGUAACAGAGCCUAUAAGGAGCACGGUAGCCCCUGUGAUUCAUCAACCUUCACUUCACAGACCUGACCGGAGUCUGGAGGCUGGAGCCGCCGUAGAAAUAUUACUAUUACCAUCCUCCUCUUGGUGAUCGCCCUGUCUCAUAUGGCCUUCUGGAUUCAGGGAAUUUCUAGAUUCAGGCCUGCAUAUGGACAGGGUGAUUACCAAAGGGAUGACGGUAAUAUUUAAUUCAUGAUGUUGGCAAACUCGUCGGAAAAUCGACCCCGGCGCUGGCAAACUCACCGGGGGCAGAGCUCUGAAGUGGCCGCCAUACCAACCCUCUCGCUGACAUUUCACGAAGAAGAUAAGGAACGCGAAAAUUAUGCUAAAUUUCAGUGCUUUUUGCUGUUUAUCUUUGUUUUUGUGUUCUUGGGUUUCAGGGUUUUGUUGCUGGUGACAGGGUUCGAAAGCCGGGUAUGAAUCAACUCUCAAUUCUAUGAAAUUUCAGUUUCGGUUUCGAUUUCAACGUCUGUUUUGAAAUUUGUUUCAUGUGGUUCGAAUUUGGAUCUCAAAUAUCGCCUUUGUGCACGGAUUUAUGAUGCAAAUCUUAAAUUUUGUAACUCGUCUAAAUUUGGAGUAUGUGAGAUUCGGUAUAUUCUGAGAUCGCAUCACCAAUCCGAGUAGUGUUGCAGCAGCAAAAUGAAAACUGGGACAAUAUAUGUUGGUGGAAAUCCUAUCAAAUCUGCCUCCCAAAACUCUGAUGCGAUUCAAAUGCGUCUCUAAAUGGUGGUAUGCUCUCAACACCAAUCCGAGUUUCGCAUUGAAAAACUCUCCAACUCACCAUCAACAGCCUCACCACUCGCGACCUCCUUUUCAAGAGAUUAGUAGUGCAGCUGCAGCAUGAGGAGGAGGAAACUGAACAAGUAUUCUUGUUGCUUUACUUAUGCAAAGACGGUGAUAAUAUCAAUGACGAGGAUAGCAAUAGCUACUCUCUUGUUGGUGUCCAGGAUAUUAUCCUCACUCUUUGACUUAGAAGGUCGGAGUCCAGGAACAACUGCAUAUUAUAGGCCACUGCAAUGGCAUUGUUUUACUAUAUAGUAAGGGUAGCUUUGUUUUAUGCAAUCCCGGAAAUGAGGAAUUCAUUCGUGUUCCCGAUGAGCCAUGCCUUCCAUUGUGGCCCAGAUUAGGUUUGGACCCGUGGGAGGAUUACAAUUGGCCAGAACAUAUUGAUACUGGUUUUCAUCCUGGAUUUGGCUAUGAUCCCAAAUAUAACGAGUACAAAUUUGUGGUCUUUACUACUUAUACUCAAGAGUCGGAUGACAUUAUGACACUUACUGCUUCACACAAAGCGGUAGUAUACACCAUCACUUGUGAUUCUUGAAAGAGCUCGAUACCGUUUCUUUAGAAGCUGAAACUACUUUGAUUUGGCCAGACAGGUUCCUGAUGUGCUUCAAGGGAAUGUGUUUUUGGCUGGGAAUUGAGCAAGAUAAGGAAAUAUCUGUUUAUGACACUUUAGAUGACCCAGAAGGCGGGAGAGUGAUCAUUUAUUUCGAUACAAGUCGCUAGGUAUUUCAUGGUAUACCCGAACCAUCUGAGCUCCAACGAUUACCCCCUGGGGUGUAACCUUGAUUUGAAGUUUAUUCCGUGGAAUGAAUCAGUUUCUUAUGGUUCACAAUGAUGGACGCGUAGUUUGCUUUAAUCUUUGUAUUAAAAAGCUUACAUGUACUCCCGCUGAAACACGAGGUGCCUUUGUUGGUUACGUGAAUGGCAUAGUUUCGGUCAUGGGACACAACCACAAGCCUGAGAGCAUAGAGAAUAAUUGCUCAGACAAAGGCGAAGAUGAGAUGGUGGUGGUAGACGGGAAGAGGGAAAGCUGCAGGAGGCGGUGCACAUAUUCCUUUUGGGCCAUUCAACCGGGUGAUGUUUCCCAUAGAAUCAAGAAGGUGAUGGAAGGCAUCCGGUCAGAGUUUGGUGCGUUUCCCUGUAAACAGUUCUAUGCCAUAUUUGAGCCCCCCCUACGCGAAGUUGACGGAAGAAGAAGAGAGGAAAAAAGCUCGGGAAAUGGUUGAUAUUCUGGAUGAGAGCAUUACUAGCUCGACCUUCCGCGUAACUCGCUUUACAUUGUAUGAAAUCGACUACGAUGGCAAAUCUCUGAAAUCUUGGACGAAGAUUGAUGAAAUCGGCCAUUAGACAAGUUCUCUGAAUUCAUGUAAUUGCAAGCAAGUUAGCGACUCUGAGGUUGAACAAAGUGGCAUACAUACAUGUUGCCCAAAUUUGAUACAUCAUGGAAUCCAUGGAUGAGAUAUGGUGAAAAUCUUUGAUGAAUGUAACCUAACGUAGCCUGCCAACGGAGAGUUUUUUUGGGUGUACUCUGAACAUUGUCAGUGUGAUAAAAUAGUUUUAAUCAA